rnacentral:tRNA from 1 species
ACUUCUAAAGGAAAGUAGUAAUCCGUUGGUCUUAGGCACCAAAAAUCUUGGUGCAACUCCAAGUAAAAGUA